rnacentral:rRNA from 1 species
CCUGCGGAAGGAUCAUUAUUGAAUGAACUUGGUGUGGUUGUUGCUGGCUCUCUUGUGGGGGCAUGUGCACACCCGCCAUCCUCAUCUCUCCACCUGUGCACCUCUUGUAGACCUGGAUGAAUUUUCCGAGGUAACUCGGUCGGGAGGAAUGCUGCGCUCUUUGCGUCGGCUUUCUUUGCACUUCCAAGCCUACGUUUUUUUCAUAUACCCGUAGUAUGUAACAGAAUGUAUCAUUGGGCCUAAGUGCCUAUAAACCUUAUACAACUUUCAGCAACGGAUCUCUUGGCUCUCGCAUCGAUGAAGAACGCAGCGAAAUGCGAUAAGUAAUGUGAAUUGCAGAAUUCAGUGAAUCAUCGAAUCUUUGAACGCACCUUGCGCUCCUUGGUAUUCCGAGGAGCAUGCCUGUUUGAGUGUCAUUUAAUUCUCAACCUUAUUAGCUUUUGUUGAUAAUGGCUUGGAUGUGGGGGUUUUCUUUUGCUGGCUUUCUUCGGAUGUCAGCUCCCCUUAAAUGUAUUAGCCGGUGCCCUGCGUGGACUAUCCGUUGGUGUGAUAAUUAUCUACGCCGUUGGAUGUCUGCAAAUAGGUUUUGCACUGCUUCUAACUGUCUGUUCAUUUGGACAAUACAUGACAAUUUGACCUCAA